UACAGAGACUGCAAGCGUUAUUCGGAUUCACUGGGCGUAAAGGGUGCGCAGGCGGUCGGGUGUGUCAGAUGUGAAAUCCCGAGGCUCAACCUCGGAACUGCGUCUGAAACUACUCGACUAGAGUACUGGAGAGGGUAACGGAAUUCACGGUGUAGCAGUGAAAUGCGUAGAUAUCGUGAGGAACGUCAAUGGCGAAGGCAGCCACCUGGCAUCAUACUGACGCUGAGGCGCGAAAGCGUGGGGAGCGAACAGG
rnacentral:rRNA from 1 species